UACAGAGGUCUCGAGCGUUAGGCGGAAUCACUGGGCUUAAAGCGUGUGUAGGCGGAUUGCUAAGUACCUUGUGAAAUCCCACGGCUCAACCGUGGAACUGCUUGGUAUACUGGUUAUCUUGAGCCACUUAGGGGCGAGCGGAACAAAUGGUGGAGCGGUGAAAUGCGCAGAGAUCGGGAGGAACACCCGUAGCGAAGGCGGCACUCUGGGCCGGUACUGACGCUGAGGAGCGAAAGCGUGGGGAGCGAACAGG
rnacentral:rRNA from 1 species